rnacentral:tRNA from 1 species
GGAGUUGUGGGUGAGUGGCCGAAACCAUCCGACUGUAAAUCGGAUUUCCUCUGGAACACGCAGGUUCAAAUCCUGCCGCUUCCG